rnacentral:rRNA from 1 species
UACAGAGGGUGCGAGCGUUAAUCGGAAUUACUGGGCGUAAAGCGCGCGUAGGCGGCUUUGCAAGUCGGGUGUGAAAUCCCCAGGCUUAACCUGGGAACUGCAUUCGAGACUGCAUUGCUAGAGUAUGGGAGAGGGAAGUGGAAUUUCCGGUGUAGCGGUGAAAUGCGUAGAUAUCGGGAGGAACACCGGUGGCGAAGGCGGUUCUCUGGGCCUGUACUGACGCUGAGGAGCGAAAGCGUGGGGGAGCGAACAGG